CACUCAGUCUGGGGAGUGGGAUGGGGGGAGGUGGGACCUGCACUUCAUCUCUAAACAGUUUGCCAUCACUACUGUAGGGUAUAACAGGGAAGGGAAGCAAGUUAUGAACUAUAUAGUUUUAUACUAAAUUAAAUAAUGGGAGCUAGAAUCUUUUAGCAAUGAACCCACUUAGCAGAAAUCUGGAGAGAAAGUGGUUAUGUGUUGUUUAGAAGAAUGCUUAUAAUUGUAAUGUAUGAAUGUAUUAGAAUGUUAUUACAUCAUAAAAAGGACAAAUAGGAGAAACAUAGAGUUGUAUGAAGUGACAGAGAGUAAAAUAAGAUCACAGAAUAUAUACUGUAAUGUUAUAAAUGAAAACAAGUUUAAUAGACAUUCUAAGGAAACUGAAUAAUGUAAUAAGCAGAAAAAAACUGCAUUUGAUCUGCAUUUGAUUGACAGGGACAUGUGACAUAGAAUCAUAUGAGAGCCUGGGUCAAGAUUCCAAGGGGGUUGAGGUCCCAACUGAAACCAGACUUCUUGGUGAAGCUUUUGGAGGUAGCUGUGAUUUCCACCUCUCUACAAGAUUUCUGGCCCUUGUGAGAUAUGAGCUGGAAGAGAGAGAGGCUUGAACAGGCUGCUGGCAGCUAGACUGAAGACCAAAGAAGAACCAUUAAAUCUCUUCUGGACCUGACUUGGACUUUACCUCUGUGAUCUUGGCCCAUUUCUGGACUCGGUUUGUGAGGUUCUAUUUGGAGGGAAUCUUAACUUAUUUAGCUUAGAUAACUUAGCAAAUAGGAGUAUAUUUAAGGGAAAUUAGUUUGGGGAUAAGAUUAAAAAAUUUCCUUCUCCUUUGUUACCCUCAUUCCUAAUCCAUUUCCCCAUCACUAAACUUAAAAUAUUUAGAUGCUUACCUCUUGUCUCUUCCCCCUAAACAAUCCCACAAUAACAGUUGGCAGAGCCAGCUAGGUUAUUAGUUAUUAUUAAUUGUAUGUUUAAUUAUAAGUUAAGUGUAGAAAAUUUACUUAGGGAAAGUUCAGUUUAGCCAACAUUCUAAAACCUCUCUGAGCUGCCAGGAGCUCAGGAGGAAGGCCUAACAGAAUUCUUAGGGCUUGGCUUGCCUAUGGGGAGCCAUUUUGACUGCAAGAUGUGCUUCCGGUGAUCAUCUUGGAGCAACCACCUUGGAGCAAUCAUUUUGAAAAAAAAAUUUAUAUUUUUGUAAUUUUAUAACAACUUGUAUAUUGUAUGUUUAUUGAACAUUGUAAUACCACCUAUACUGUUCUUAAUUUGUCUUUAAUGGUUGAUAUACAUGUUAGGCACAAUUUUAUUGUUAAUGUGGGAGUAGAUGUUGUACAUCCCUUAUGGUAUAUUGUGGGUUUCCCUAGGAUAUGUCACCUUAUAUUUGAAUUUGAUUGGAUGAAACCAGUUAUGAAAAUUAAGCUCCCUGAUUUUUUUGCUCAUGUUCCCCUAAGUGUGAUCUGUUGUUUUGUCUUGAAUAAGUCCCGUGCACCUGUGUUUGCUUUUGGGAAAUGGCUAAAGGUAAUGAUUACAGUAAGGAUUCAGAGUUAAAGGUCAAGUUCCCCCCAAACAGAACCUCACAAACUGAGUCCAGAAGUGGGCCAAGAUCACAGAGGUAAAGUCCAAAUCAGGUCCAGAAGAGAUUUGAUGGUUAUGCUUUGGUUUUCAAUCUAGCUGCCAACAACCCAUUCAACUCUCUCUCUAUUAGGUGGUAGCUCACAAAGGCCAGAAAUCUUGUAGAGAGGUGGAAAUCACAGCUACCUCGAAAAGCUUCACCAAGAAGUCUGGUUUCAGUUGGGACCUCAAUCCCCUUAGAAUCUUGACCCAGGCUCUCAUGUGAUUCUGUGUCACAUGCCCCUGUCAAUCAAAUGCAGAUCAAAUAUAAUCUUUUCUCUGCUUACUACAGUAACAAAUGUUAAUAUUAUGUUUUCCUAUUUAGAGUUUUUCAACAGAACUUUAACAUAUUAAUGUCAAUGUUAGAUUCCAAGGGUUUCAAUUUCCUAAAUUGAAAGGAUUUUAUUGGAUAGCUUCUCAUGUUACUUUAUCUCACUAUCUAAGAAAUUUUGUUUUGCCUGAUCCAGUAUCCUUCCUUGCACUAGAACUCUUUGCCAAUGUGAGCUAAAACUAGGAGAUAUAUUUAACCUUGGCUCUGUCAUUUAUUUAUUGUGUAACUAGAUAGACUGAAUUUCCUCAGGAAAAAGAGACUAAAUAUUUUUUUCACUCCCUAAUAUGUGUAAGGUACCAUGCUAAAUGGUUUAAGAAUAUUAUUCAAUUUGAUCCUCACAACAACUAUGAUAUAUAGUGUAAGAAUUAAAAUUAGGAGACUGGUUGUAGAUGAAUAAUUUUAUUAAAUCAAAAGUAGCAGGAAGAAGAGGGAAAAGUAGGAGAGGGAGCUGAAGGGGACUUUCCUUAUUGCUACCUUAGCUGAUUAUCCUGAGAUCAGCAGAAUGGCCUACUGCUACACUCACCACUCAGAUGCAGUUUCAGCCAGCAUCAUCAACACCCAAAUCAAGAGCUUCCCUUUUCCAGUAGCUGCUCUAUUGCUCAAUUUUCUCAGUAGUAUCUGGCUUCCAGAUCAGUAGGAGAUGACAUUAAUAGAGCAACACUGAAAAGAGAGAAAUUUACUUCAGACAACAUUUGGUUACUAUAUUUUGAAAGCUUUCUGUGGCAAACAGCUUGGAAAUAAUUCCCCAAAGAGGGAGUGCCCCAUGAGACUUCAAAAAAAAUGAAUAUCUGCAAUAUAAAGUAGGAAGCCUUCAAAUGAAAAACAUACAUUUCUUAUCCAGAGGAGUAAGAGGCUUGAAUGCCUCAAUUGUAUACAAAGAGACUAGAGACAGCCUCUAGAGAAUAAGAUCCAUAGAUAACUCUUAACUUUAGCCUCUCAGCUAUGGGAUCCCCAAAAGCGAAUGAGAAAUAAAACUGACUGAAUUGAAACUAAGCAGCCUAAAGGAAGAUGAAGUGAUUUACUUAAGGAAGAAACCUUUGAGCCUAAAAACAAGCAGAUUGGAGAACCCAGGAGAUAACAAAAGAACUAUGAAUGAAGGCUGUAGAAUCAAAGGGAAGAGGUUUUUGGUGAUCCAAGCUAUGAGUCAGUUGCUGACCUACCUAAAAGAGGUCAAUAUCACUUAGGUGAAAAAAUCAUAAUAACUCUGUUGUUAAAGAGAAUACAGGAUCACUCGGCCAAACUUGUUAUUGAAAGUGGAAGAAACAAAACAAAUCAAAAUAAAGCAAAAUUAUAGCUUAUCAAUAAAAAAGUGAGCCUGGAGAAGCCACUGUAUCCUCUUAUCCAAAAGAGACAGCCCAAAGAACUCUGCAACUCAACAACCUACCCAUUCCAUACUGAUGAUCUUACCUGAUACUGUUUCCCACAUGACUGAAUAUAGUCACCAAGUGACCUGCUUUACUUAGACCAGCUGCAAUUUGGUCAUGUAGCCCUAAGCGUAACAAGCCCAGAUAAAACAUUGGUCUUGUAGAGAUAUUGAACCUUGCAAAAAAUCCAGCCAGAUGAAUAGGAUGAAAUAAAAGUACUUCCUGAACAAUUUGAAUAAAGCAGAUAAAAUUUUUUCAA